GAUCCUGGCUCAGGAUGAACGCUAGCGAUAGGCUUAACACAUGCAAGUCGAGGGGCAGCACGGUGUAGCAAUACACUGGUGGCGACCGGCGUACGGGUGCGUAACACGUAUGCAACCUACCCGCUAUUGGGGGAUAACCCGGCGAAAGUCGGACUAAUACCCCAUAUUAUUCUUACCGGGCAUCCGGUAGGUCUGAAAGAUUUAUCGAUUGCGGAUGGGCAUGCGGAUGAUUAGCUAGUAGGUGGGGUAACGGCUCACCUAGGCGACGAUCAUUAGGGGUUCUGAGAGGAAGGUCCCCCCACACUGGAACUGAGACACGGUCCAGACUCCUACGGGAGGCAGCAGUGAGGAAUAUUGGUCAAUGGGCGCUAGCCUGAACCAGCCAAGUCGCGUGAAGGAUGACAAGAUCUAUGGUUUGUAAACUUCUUUUGCAGGGGAGUAAAGUGCGACACGUGUGUUGUAUUGCAAGUACCCUGCGAAUAAGCAUCGGCUAACUCCGUGCCAGCAGCCGC
rnacentral:rRNA from 1 species